rnacentral:rRNA from 1 species
UACGGGGGGGGUAAGCGUUGUUCGGAAUUACUGGGCGUAAAGGGCUCGUAGGCGGCCAACUAAGUCAGACGUGAAAUCCCUCGGCUUAACCGGGGAACUGCGUCUGAUACUGGAUGGCUUGAGUUUGGGAGAGGGAUGCGGAAUUCCAGGUGUAGCGGUGAAAUGCGUAGAUAUCUGGAGGAACACCGGUGGCGAAGGCGGCAUCCUGGACCAACACUGACGCUGAGGCGCGAAAGCGUGGGGAGCAAACAGG